rnacentral:rRNA from 1 species
GAUGAACGCUAGCGGCAGGCUUAAUACAUGCAAGUCGAACGGGAUUUGAGUAGCAAUAUUCAAUGAGAGUGGCGCACGGGUGCGUAACGCGUAUGCAACCUACCUUUAACAGGGGGAUAGCCCGGAGAAAUCCGGAUUAAUACCCCAUAGAAUAUAAUUGUGGCCUCACAUUUAUAUUAAAGCUCCGGUGGUUAAAGAUGGGCAUGCGUGCCAUUAGCUAGUUGGUGAGGUAACGGCUCACCAAGGCGACGAUGGCUAGGGGUCCUGAGAGGGUUAUCCCCCACACUGGUACUGAGACACGGACCAGACUCCUACGGGAGGCAGCAGUAAGGAAUAUUGGGCAAUGGACGCAAGUCUGACCCAGCCAUGCCGCGUGCAGGAAGACGGCCUUAUGGGUUGAAACUGCUUUUAUCAGGGAAUAAACCCUUGUUUGUAAACAAGGCUGAAGGUACCUGAAGAAUAAGCAUCGGCUAACUCGUGCCAGCAG